ensembl:lncRNA
UGACCCCCCGCACCCCCUUGCAGAGCAGCUCUCCCUCCGGCUGGUGGGCAGCAGCAGCCGCUGCAGUGGGCACCUGGAGGUGCUGUACAAUGGCACUUGGGGCCGCGUGUGUGCCAACGGCACCAGCCCCGCCACGGCCACCGCAGCUUGCCGGCAGCUGGGCUGUGGCGACGGGGGGAAGCUGAUGGCUGCCUCUGCCCGGGCCUCGGCCCCUGCCUGGCUGGCCUGGGUGAGCUGCAAAGAGGGGUCCCGCUCGCUCUGGCAGUGCCCCUUGGCACCCUGGCACCUGCAAGCCUGCAGCCCCGGCGGGGACACCAUCAUUGCUUGUGAUAAGGACAUUGAUGGCAGGAGCGGGACGCCCACCCUGUCUCCGGGGAGCCACUGUCCAGAUGGUGCCGAUUGCACAGGUAGCUCUGCCCAUGCCAGCAGCCCCCCGUGCCAGGAUGGCUGGGAUCUGCCUGCUCACACUGCCUGGCCAUGUCCCCACAGAUGACCCCAGCAGCAUCACCCCGACAGCAGUGGCAAGGACUGUGCCAGUGCCAACGAUCCUGUGCAUAGUGCUGGGGACACUGCUGUGCCUGACCCUGGGUGCCCUGGCCGUGCAGACGUGCCGUGCCCGGGCUUGGUGCCAAGGUGGGUCCUGGCUGGUGGAUGCCAGGGAAGAGCUGGUUUGGGGGUCCCGGGCUCCCCCUGCCGUGGGCAGUGGGUGGCCCCAGUGCCACCCACGCUGCCCAUGGCCCCAGGUGAGCACUGCUUAUUCUUUCAGGCCCUGGUAGAGCUGCAGGUGCCAUGGGUGAUGCUGUCUAUGAGGAGCUGGAAUACGCCUUGACGCCGGCGUACCAGGAGAUGCCCAGUCGCUUCGGGUCUCUGUCGGAGGGGUCGGAGACAAAGUUGCCGUAUUACACUGGGGAUGACGUGGAGGAGAGUGACCCCAAGGCAGCCUCAGACUCCCCUGCCCUGCUUGAGCAUGGCGCCCCGGACGGCUAUGAUGAUGCCACGGCCGUGCCAGAAGAGUCUCCCGCUCCCAGCACUGGGGAUGUCUCCAAGGGGGUGGCACGGCCGAGCUGGGGCUGUGUCUCACCCACAGGUGGAAGCAGUCCCCCUCCAAGUCCCCCAGAAGCCACCACAGACCCCCUGGCACAGCCCCCGAGGGACACAGACUAUGACGAUGCUGAUGUCAGCACCCUGGCGACAUCACUGUGAGGACACCCGGGCUGCACCGCGGGGUCCCCUGGGAAAAUGUCUGCAGGGUGGGGGGGUUCUGUCCCCAAGAAAGGGUGGCCCUGGCCACAGAAGUCACCUCUCCCUGCCCAGAACUGCAGUGCAGCAGCAGAACAGCUCCUGUGUCUCUCCCACGACCAGUGCUGCAGGGAUUAUUUUUUAUUAUUAUUAUUUCACUGGGAAUUUAUCUUUUUUUUUCUAUUAAAACCCUCAAAAUUUUCUAUUGAAACUCAAAAUGGCUGGAGACUCAUUUCCAAGACUGGCACCUCGCUCUGAGGUCCAUCAGCCAUCCCUGGGGGAUGCGGGACAAGAGCUGGACCCACAGACACACCCCUGGGCAUGGUGGGGAUGGGGGAAGGAUGGGGGAGAGCGUAGGGGGAUUCCUGGGACUAGCUCCGGGGCUUUUAUUUGUCAUUGGCAAACACCCGCACCACUAUUCCCACUGCCACGUGUGGGAAAAUGGGAGCAAGAAGGACCCAUGGCUUUGCUGUGACCCCCAGCAGUGGCAGGCAGGGUCUCCUGCCCUGUGCCCCCACCAGGCUCAGACCCAGGGAGGCUUCCCCCCAGCUU